rnacentral:rRNA from 1 species
AAGUCGAGCGAGUCCUUCGGGGCUAGCGGCGGACGGGUGAGUAACGCGUGGGAACGUGCCCUUCUCUACGGAAUAGUCCCGGGAAACUGGGUUUAAUACCGUAUACGCCCUUCGGGGGAAAGAUUUAUCGGAGAAGGAUCGGCCCGCGUUGGAUUAGGUAGUUGGUGGGGUAAUGGCCUACCAAGCCGACGAUCCAUAGCUGGUUUGAGAGGAUGACCAGCCACACUGGGACUGAGACACGGCCCAGACUCCUACGGGAGGCAGCAGUGGGGAAUCUUAGACAAUGGGGGAAACCCUGAUCUAGCCAUGCCGCGUGAGUGACGAAGGCCUUAGGGUCGUAAAGCUCUUUCGCUGGGGAAGAUAAUGACGGUACCCAGUAAAGAAACCCCGGCUAACUCCGUGCCAGCAGCCGCGGUAAUACGGAGGGGGUUAGCGUUGUUCGGAAUUACUGGGCGUAAAGCGCACGUAGGCGGGCUGUUAAGUCGGGGGUGAAAUCCCGGGGCUCAACCCCGGAACUGCCUUCGAUACUGGCAGCCUUGAGUUCGAGAGAGGUGAGUGGAAUUCCGAGUGUAGAGGUGAAAUUCGUAGAUAUUCGGAGGAACACCAGUGGCGAAGGCGGCUCACUGGCUCGAUACUGACGCUGAGGUGCGAA